UACGUAGGGUGCAAGCGUUGUCCGGAAUUAUUGGGCGUAAAGAGCUCGUAGGUGGCCUGUCGCGUCGGCUGUGAAAACUCGGGGCUCAACUCCGAGCUUGCCGUCGAUACGGGCAGGCUAGAGUUCGGCAGGGGAGACUGGAAUUCCUGGUGUAGCGGUGAAAUGCGCAGAUAUCAGGAGGAACACCGGUGGCGAAGGCGGGUCUCUGGGCCGAUACUGACACUGAGGAGCGAAAGCGUGGGGAGCGAACAGG
rnacentral:rRNA from 1 species